GUUUGUCCAAGCGCAGUGGGCAGCAGACGAGCUUCCAAGCUGCUGGGCCUGGAAGCUUCCACUUCCCUCAGGGCCUUUCCAGAAUCCUUUUGGAGAUCUGUAGCCCCUCCUUGCUGCCAGUGAGGACACUGAUGGAAAUCCUUAGCACAGCAAGUGACGCUCCAUAUUUUGAACCAUCCUUGGAGAAGAAAUAAAUGAGAACAGGUAUAACGUAGUCUUCUGGAAUUUUCAGCCCAAACACAGAACACACAUUGCAACUGAACUCCCCACAGUGUGACGCUGGGGAAAGAGGCAAGGAGAAAAGCAAGAAGGUGCCUGGUGACUGGAGUAGCUGGGCCAUGGAGGUGGCCCUUGGCAGAUGGCAGUAGAGAGACUGAGGAGAACCUUCGUGAGAAACUGGGGUGUGGUUGGGAUGAGGCAAGCCUGGGUGCUUUUAUGCCAUCAGCACAUUUCAUGGCAAUAAACUUGGCCUCGUUGCUAUAAAAGCGUUCA